GGCCCGGUGGCAGAAUGGAUAUGCGCCGAGGUUUGCAGCUACGGAGACGCUGGUUCGAUUCCGGCCCGGGCCU
rnacentral:tRNA from 1 species